rnacentral:rRNA from 1 species
GAUGAACGCUGGCGGCGUGCCUAAUACAUGCAAGUCGAGCGAACAGACGAGGAGCUUGCUCCUUUGACGUUAGCGGCGGACGGGUGAGUAACACGUGGAUAACCUACCUAUAAGACUGGGAUAACUUCGGGAAACCGGAGCUAAUACCGGAUAAUAUAUUGAACCGCAUGGUUCAAUAGUGAAAGACGGUUUUGCUGUCACUUAUAGAUGGAUCCGCGCCGCAUUAGCUAGUUGGUAAGGUAACGGCUUACCAAGGCAACGAUGCGUAGCCGACCGGAGAGGGUGAUCGGCCACACUGGAAGUGAGACACGGUCCAGACUCCUACGGGAGGCAGCAGUAGGGAAUCGGCCGCAAUGGGCGAAAGCCUGACGGAGCAACGCCGCGUGAGUGAUGAAGGACUUCGGAUCGUAAAACUCUGUUAUUAGGGAAGAACAAAUGUGUAAGUAACUAUGCACGUCUUGACGGUACCUAAUCAGAAAGCCACGGCUAACUACGUG